CAGUGGCCCGAGGGCCCGGCCGCACCCUCUCUCCCGGCCCGCGGGCCCCUUCCCACCACAGACCCCGCCCCGCGCCCUACCCAUCACGCGUCCCCGGUCCAGCUCCGGCGCCCACCCACCCCCGGCAGGCCCCGCCCCCGUGCUGUCCCUCCCGGAAGCGCCGGCGGAGCGUCCUCGCAUGGAGCGCGAGCCCAGCGCCUCGGAGGCCGCCCCCGCGGCGGCCGCGCUCUUCGCCUGGGGUGCAAAUAGCUAUGGGCAACUUGGCCUCGGCCAUAAGGAAGAUGUGCUGUUGCCCCAGCAACUGAAUGACUUCUGUAAACCCAGGAGUGUCAGGAGGAUCACAGGAGGAGGGGGCCACUCUGCAGUUGUCACAGAUGGAGGAGACCUCUUUGUUUGUGGCCUGAACAAAGAUGGGCAACUGGGGCUUGGUCACACAGAGGAUAUCCCAUAUUUUACCCCCUGCAAAUCCCUCUUUGGCUGUCCCAUCCAACAGGUGGCCUGUGGCUGGGAUUUUACGAUUAUGCUCACAGAAAAUGGUCAAGUUCUAUCAUGUGGAUCCAACUCCUUUGGCCAGUUAGGAGUUCCUCAUGGACCUCGAAGAUGUGUGGUUCCCCAGGCCAUUGAGUUCCAUAAAGAGAAGGUUGUUUGUAUUGCUGCUGGACUGAGGCAUGCAUUAGCUGCUACAGCGAGUGGCAUCGUGUUCCAGUGGGGGACUGGUUUGGCACCAUGUGGACGACGGUUGUGCCCUGGGCAGACUCUUCCAUUGUUUUUCACAGCAAAGGAACCAAGCAGAGUGACAGGUCUAGAGAAUUCUAAAGCAAUGUGUGUUCUUGCUGGCUCAGACCACUCAGCUUCAUUAACAGAUGCAGGAGAGGUGUAUGUUUGGGGAAGCAACAAGCAUGGGCAACUGGCUAAUGAGGCUGCUUUCCUUCCUGUGCCCCAGAAAAUAGAAGCACAUUGUUUCCAGAAUGAAAAGGUCACUGCCAUCUGGAGUGGGUGGACACACCUGGUUGCUCAGACAGAAACUGGCAAGAUGUUUACCUGGGGCCGAGCAGACUAUGGUCAGCUAGGGAGGAAGUUGGAGACUUAUGAAGGCUGGAAACUAGAAAAGCAAGAUUCAUUUCUCCCCUGUUCAAGACCACCGAACAGCAUGCCUUCAUCUCCGCAUUGCUUAACUGGAGCAACUGAGAUACUGAACUGCACAGUGGGAGAUGUGGAGAUGAAUUCCUAGAGCUCUGGUCUCAGGAGGCCCUCCAGGUGGAUUCUGCAUCAAGACAGUCUUUUGGAGUAAUAGCAAGGUCUCUUGUGGCUCAGAGCAUAAUUUGGCAAUAAUUGUAUCUCUGCAAGGUAAGUAUUAUUAUCCCGGUUUUGCUGAUGUGGAAAUGGAGUUGCAGAGAAAUUAAGAGAUAUACCCAAGAUCACACUGUUCAUGUGUCAUGGAGCCAUAUUUUGAAUCCUGUGAGAGACUUCAAUGCUGAUGAUUGGAUGACCAGACCAUCAAACCAUGCUGGAGCCCCAGGGCCGAUGGCCUGAGAGUAGAAGAAGGAGUAGGCUUUGAUAGCUGAGCCCCCAAAGGUGGAGUGUGUUACUCUUGGGGCUGGAAUGAGCAUGGCAUGUGCGGAGAUGGCACUGAAGCCAACGUCUGGGCCCCAAAGCCGGUGCAGGCUCUGCUGUCAUCGUCAGGACUCCUUGUGGGCUGUGGGGCUGGCCACUCCUUGGCCCUCUGCCAGCUGCCAGCUCACCCUGCAUUGGUCCAGGACUCCAGGGUCACCUACCUUUCCCCAGAUGCCAUCGAGGACACUGAAUCUCAGGAAGCCAUGGACAAAGAGAGAAACUGGGAGGAAAGACAAUCAGAAACUUCAACCCAAAGCCAAUCUGACUGGUCCAGAAAUGGGGGACUGUGAUAGAGAAUCUUUAAUAAAAUGGCUUUUCCCACCAAAA